UUCCCGUUGAUUGACGUGCUUGCACUGAUUUCAACAUUGGAACGAGUGGCGAACUGGUGAGUAACACGUGGAAAACCUGCCCAGAAGCAGGGGAUAACACUUGGAAACAGGUGCUAAUACCGUAUAACAACAAAAACCGCAUGGUUUUUGUUUGAAAGGUGGCUUCGGCUAUCACUUCUGGAUGGUUCCGCGGCGCAUUAGCUUGUUGGUGGGGUAACGGCUCACCAAGGCGAUGAUGCGUAGCCGACCUGAGAGGGUAAUCGGCCACAUUGGGACUGAGACACGGCCCAGACUCCUACGGGAGGCAGCAGUAGGGAAUCUUCCACAAUGGACGCAAGUCUGAUGGAGCAAUGCCGCGUGAGUGAAGAAGGGUUUCGGCUCGUAAAACUCUGUUGUUGAAGAAGAACGGGUGUCAGAGUAACUGUUGACAUCGUGACGGUAUUCAACCAGAAAGCCACGGCUAACUACGUGCCAGCAGCCGCGGUAAUACGUAGGUGGCAAGCGUUGUCCGGAUUUAUUGGGCGUAAAGCGAGCGCAGGCGGUUUCUUAAGUCUGAUGUGAAAGCCUUCGGCUUAACCGAAGAAGUGCAUCGGAAACUGGGGAACUUGAGUGCAGAAGAGGACAGUGGAACUCCAUGUGUAGCGGUGGAAUGCGUAGAUAUAUGGAAGAACACCAGUGGCGAAGGCGGCUGUCUAGUCUGCAACUGACGCUGAGGCUCGAAAGCAUGGGUAGCGAACAGGAUUAGAUACCCUGGUAGUCCAUGCCGUAAACGAUGAGUGCUAGGUGUUGGAGGGUUUCCGCCCUUCAGUGCCGCAGCUAACGCAUUAAGCACUCCGCCU
rnacentral:rRNA from 2 species